GCCGCGCGGCCGGCGGCGCAGGGAGCGCCGCCGCCGCGGAUGGCCCGGGCAAGGGCGGCGCGGCGCGGCCGAUUGCUAGCGAGGACGACGGCGCGCGUGUGCUGCAUCGGGGAUCCGCUAAUGGCAACCUUUUGGAGAUGCAGAACCGCUUCACCCGUGCACAGACCCGGGUUAGUUCGAGGUUGACCUGAGCUGGAGCGGCCGAGAGCAGCAACGUGCUGGGCGAGGCGCUCUCGGCUCUUCCUCCUACUCCAACGCCGCUCCUCCGUGCAAGCAGCCGGCAGCGCCAGUUCAGAGAUCUGGUGAAUUAGUUACAAAGGUUGGUUUCAAUGCUGAGAAUGAGAUAAUACACACCCUUGCAUUCUUAGCUGCUGCCAUGGUUUGGUCACAGACGCAAUAUGCUCAAAAACUCUGGGCUGCUACAUCGAUCUCGGUUAAUGGAGCGGAGGAAAUAUAUGAAUGCUUCAUAGUUCUGAAAAACGAUGUCAUAGCUGAGCAAGUCAAGGUCCUGAAAAGGUUCAUGACAUUGCAUCUCACUAUGAUUGUGGAACAAGAAGAAAGUACAAAAGAAUGCCAUAUCAAAGCAACCAGUGAGCAAGCACAAUUGGUGACUUUAGCAUAUGCUUCAGAUACGUAGUCCUCCAUGAAAGCUGAACUGAUGAUAAAGGAUGAUAUGCUGCUGGUGAAUGGGUGACCUAUAAAAAGUUGAAUUAAUCCGUUGAUGCAUAGUAUUUUGCUCUAUACACGAAAUUAUGUUACAUACCUGCAUCAAUUAUCUGAUGAUUAUGGUCAAAUAGGGUGGGUGUAUGGCUGAAUUUCAUGUGCCUCUCAUUUUUUUUUUGGGGAUUUGAUGAAUCAGAUACCUCUGGACUCUGGUGGUGAUACAUUACUGUGCUUGCAUCGCUUCAUUCAAGACAUAGCCACCUCGGGAUGCCUUCCUUGAUGAUAAGACUCGGAGAACCUCUGGAUAGGGUCACUGUCGAGUGUUUUGCCCUGCUCGUGCGUGAGGAUGCAGAUGCAUAUAGUAAUCAGGUCUGCAACUUCCGCAUCGCGAUUUAAACCAAGAUGAAUGAAUGCUAAAGGAUCACGGAAGGCAGGAAGGUGGCAUGGUUCUCGGACAUCCAUGGGGACAUCACUAAUGGCCACUGGCAGACCAUGAGGUGGUAGAUACCAGCGGCCGACAUCUGGGAGCAUCUCAUCCGGACUCACGCCCAAUCCGCAAGCAUCAGCUAGUAGCAAUGAGCAAAUGUGCAACGAUGUGUACAGUAGAGAGGAGAAAGUGUGGCAGCCUCUCUUUUCAGUUAUGCAGUAAAGGGUGGAUCGGAGUGUCGAUUCCAUGGUUGCCAAAUGCUAUAUGAGCUAGCCUAUGGAACACCAGGUGCUCAUGGAGCUGGCUCCUUGGAAGCUCAGCCUCAGGCAAGUUAGGUGAGCUAGCUCCCAUCUCUUGGUAAUUGGUCACUUUAUUAUUUGUUGAUCGAUUUACACUUUCAGUGGUUUUAUAUUAAACAAGUCUUUUGUCAGUAGGAAAAAUGUAUAGUAACAGGAUUUAUGAUCCUUAUGUGUUGGCUAGUGAAGGAGGGUUUCUUUAGCUAGGACUGUCACUCUAUUCUAGUAAAAAUCUCUUCCAGAGUUCAUUAUUAUGUGCAAUAUGGAGAAAGAAUGUGCAGAAAUGAUGCACUCCUUAGCAGUGAUCAUAGCGAUAUGGAGAAAGAAUGUUCAGUCCUUUGCUGCUGUGUAGUAAAUUUCAUUUUUUUUUGUUUUAUCCGAGCAAAAUAUCUGACCAACAGUCUCUCUCCUUCCUACCUACGACAAAUCCACCCAUUCAUCUUCAGGAUCAGGAUGCUUUUUAGAACAUCUUUCUCUUUAGUUCCUUUUUAUGUCAGUUUACUAUUCUAUUUCUCCCAAUUUAUUCUGCUUUAAUGGGAUUAAAUUUCAGAUGGCAUAAUGAUGAAAAUAUCCCUUCAUGUUUGUUGUCAA